UACGAAGGGGGCUAGCGUUGUUCGGAAUCACUUGGGACGGUAAAGCGCACGUAGGCGGAUCUUUAAGUCAGGGGUGAAAUCCCGAGGCUCAACCUCGGAACUGCCUUUGAUACUGGGGAUCUCGAGUCCGGGAGAGGUGAGUGGAACUGCGAGUGUAGAGGUGAAAUUCGUAGAUAUUCGCAAGAACACCAGUGGCGAAGGCGGCUCACUGGCCCGGAACUGACGCUGAGGAGCGAAAGCGAUGGGGAGCAACGGGGAUUA
rnacentral:rRNA from 1 species